rnacentral:rRNA from 1 species
AUUGAACGCUGGCGGCAUGCUUUACACAUGCAAGUCGAACGGUAACAGGCCGCAAGGUGCUGACGAGUGGCGAACGGGUGAGUAAUGCAUCGGAACGUGCCCAGUCGUGGGGGAUAACGCAGCGAAAGCUGCGCUAAUACCGCAUACGAUCUAUGGAUGAAAGCGGGGGACCGUAAGGCCUCGCGCGAUUGGAGCGGCCGAUGUCAGAUUAGGUAGUUGGUGGGGUAAAGGCUCACCAAGCCAACGAUCUGUAGCUGGUCUGAGAGGACGACCAGCCACACUGGGACUGAGACACGGCCCAGACUCCUACGGGUGGCAG